AAGAAAUGCCUUAAGGCAAACGCUAUGUAGAUUUUGCAGCUUUAUGUUAAGGCAAUAUGUGUUCACAUCGCAUCAUUGAUUAAGGAAGUUUAUUUUACGAUUUUCAGUUAGUUACAUUUAUUCAUAACCUAUCCUUGCGCAUUGUAUUCAAAACAACCGUAUUAGGAAAACAUAUUAUCGGGACUAAAAACAAAACGAACCAUUAAAUCUGAUAUAGUUCAUCUGACUGAACAAUGAAAAUGGCGGACAACAGAGGAUAUGGAACUAUGCCGCCCGGAGCCCCUGGUCCACACCAACCAUCCCCAGGGCCAUACCCUCCGAUCGGGCAGUAUAUGCCUGUAACACCUAAUUGUAUGGCAUGUCGGGUUGGCUUCAUGCAAGAGGGGUACUCCAUUGUUGGUAUUAUACUUGCCAUCGUCUUUUUCCCUAUCGGCAUCCUUUGCUGUCUGAUGAUGAAAGAGAAGAAGUGUUCAAACUGUGGGUCUACCGUUUCCAUGUAAAGCCGCAAUAUCUACGAACUUAUAAUGAAGAAAGAUUGGUGUUGAGGUGCACAUAUCUUACAAUGUGCCUGCAUUAUUUCUACAUGGAUCCAUAACCCUACUUACAUAGCAUUAUUGGAGACUCUAACCCUAAUAUAAAAAGGUGCCAAAAAACGUUAUUUUGUGUUUUUGAAGGUAUAAAUACAUGUAUAUUAUUUUAAUGCUUGUUUGAUUUUCAUGGAGAUGUUUUGUCAUUUCCUAGUUUGUUAUACUAUAAGAUGUAAGGGAAAUUCUAAUUUCAUACCUAGUAUGAAUUGUUAUGAACAAUGCUUUUCCUAAUCUCUCUACAUAAUAACUUGUAAAUUUUAAUUCACUUUCUAAGUUUUCUAAAUCUUGUUCUAUCUCGCUGAAUUUAUUAAACAUAUUGUCCAUUUAUACACAAGAUCAUUUGCACUUUAAGAAAACCCGUGUCAGGGAAAAAUAAUCUUGUAACUGAAACCGCACUCAGCGGGAUUUGAGUCAUAUCGACGUUUUUCAUUUAAAACUUCCUGUUCAAAUAACAUCCAUAUCUAUAGAACACGCUUCCGGUUGUGAUGUGCCACGUUAUGGUGGUAUAGAUGCUCUGUGGUGUACCGCAUUUGCUCUUUAAAACUUAAGUGUAUGUUGCAAGUGUGCAACGUAACUCGUACUGUUUUUCGACCAAUUGUGUUGACAAUAAUACAAACAAAUUCGUUGCAGUGGUAAUUAUUAUGUUACUAUUUUCCGCUAUAUUAAAACGAUAUUGUUGAUGAUGAUAAUGAUAGAUAUUACUAUUAUUAUUAUAUAAUUAAGAAUGAAAAAUUGACCGGAAAAGAUUUUGAAUGGCAUAAGUUAAAAAGGCUUCAUGUCAACAAACGAUUUCAGAAACAAACUACAGCAAACUGUGGACUCUCAUAGUUUUUGCUCUAUUUAUUCGCAGUAAGAAGAAAUGAUUUGAAUCUAAGACAUGACUUAGUUGGGACUCUCAUAGUUUUUGCUCUAUUUAUUCGCAGUAAGAAGAAAUGAUUUGAAUCUAAGACAUGACUUAGUUGGUCAUAUGAGUAUUCAAAGCGUAAAUUGCGUUUCAAAUGUAACAUUUACAGACGAAUUGCACUCAAAGACUAUGAGAUACAUAUUACUGUAAAAGCAUGUGGAUAAAAAAUAAUGAUUACGUCUGUACACAACAACGUCGUUUACUGAACAUAUACAAACUCAAAUUUUAAUUUUAUCGAGUAAGGUUUCAAUGUGUUAGAUGUGGAACAUGUUUGAAACAAAUGCGUUUGAUAUAGGGUAUAGCAUACACCAAAUGAGCUCUUAAAUAUUAGACAACGAUAUAAGACACACAAUUUUAUGUUGUCAUUUUAAUCAGCCUUAACAUACGACAGUUAAUACACAAAAUGUUGAAAUGAACGCGGUCUCUUUAACAAUUAUAACGGAAAGACCCAGUAUAUUAAUUUUCUUAAAGAUCAUAAAAUGCUCAAAAUUAACGAAAAUUUCGUAGCAUAAAUAUAUCUCAUAAAAAAUUACUGUUCCUUAAGGCAAUAUCCAAAAUUUCAUCGCUAGAUUUGGUCUGGUAAUAUUGAUUUCACGAGAUACAACACGCUCGUUUUUAUUCUUUUGUAAAACAGUAUAUUCCCUUUGAAUUACCGCCGACGUUAUCCGAACAUUAACGAGCGAACACGAGAAUGGGCUCGGGCAGCGUCGGAAGCAAAACAUAGUCCUCGUGAUUUAUUUAUAAUUUGUUUUACAUUUCAAAGGUAAUUCUUUUAUAGUUACAAUUUGUAGAUUAUCUUCAUAAGUGUGUUAGUUCAAAUAGCGUUUACUUUAUUGCUUUGUAUAUUCAAUUGAAAUGGUGUAUAUCUGACGCUAUAGAAUUCUUAUAAAACCGUGAUAAUACUUUCUGGAAUAGCUUGCAUAAAGAAUAUGAAAAUGAACGCAAACCGAAGUAAUCCGAUCCUGCCUCGAGAUUAUCCUCAAAACGAGCAAGAUGACAUCGUGAAACGAUUUUAAGAUGCUAACAAGUUGAAGAGUGUUUGUAUUUUAACUAUUUUAUACCAAUGUUACGGUCUUCCUAUUGUUAUUAACCUUCGCUUGGCACUUUUUUGUUGUUGGCAGUUUGUAUUAAGCAUAAUAGUAUUGGACAGUGUUUACGGAUCUUUAAACGACGAGCUUUUUAUUCUUACACAAUUUUCAAUUUUGACUGAUUCAAAGCGAUUUCGUUAGAAGAAACACAUGAACAUCAUACAUGUUUUUGUAUUGUGUGACUGUUCUGUACAUUCGGGUCGGAAAUGACACAUACUAUUUAUUUUAAUUUAAUUUGCACCAAUAGUGAGUGGGUUUUAUGUAUAAUUCAUACUGAAUAUACUGUGAUUCGAACAAAUUACAAUUUUGAUGAUUUUUGUGUUUAUGCAUGUCGACUUUUUGCCGAUUUUAUUUAUAUUUCAAAUCAUAACCUUGUAAUAAAUAAAGGGAUAAAGGCAGAGAUGAGUUAAUGUUAGCAUUUUUAUUUUCAUAGAAAAUUCGUUUUUACUUAUGUAAUCAAAUACAUGAUGAAGUAUAUAGAAUAUUAUGGCCAUGAAGCAUGGACUUUAUGUUUGUUAUUGGUGUAUUAAUUGUGUGCAUUGCCUGGUAAUUGUUUAUGUAUGUAGAACAUUUUGCUGAUACCAGAAAUGAUUUUACAAAACGGAUACGUUACUUAACUGCUUGUCUAUAUAUCAAAAUAAAUAUACAACUUC